rnacentral:misc_RNA from 1 species
CUCGAUGAUGAUUCACCUAGCUCACUCAGACAUGAUAACUGGUGAUAACUUCUUUCCCCGUCUUAGAG